AUUGAACGCUGGCGGCAGGCCUAACACAUGCAAGUCGAACGGAUCCUUCGGGAUUAGUGGCGGACGGGUGAGUAACACGUGGGAACGUGCCCUUUGGUUCGGAACAACUCAGGGAAACUUGAGCUAAUACCGGAUGUGCCCUUCGGGGGAAAGAUUUAUCGCCAUUGGAGCGGCCCGCGUCUGAUUAGCUAGUUGGUGAGGUAAAGGCUCACCAAGGCGACGAUCAGUAGCUGGUCUGAGAGGAUGAUCAGCCACAUUGGGACUGAGACACGGCCCAAACUCCUACGGGAGGCAGCAGUGAGGAAUCUUGCGCAAUGGGCGAAAGCCUGACGCAGCCAUGCCGCGUGAAUGAUGAAGGUCUUAGGAUUGUAAAAUUCUUUCACCGGGGACGAUAAUGACGGUACCCGGAGAAGAAGCCCCGGCUAACUUCGUGCCAGCCGCCGCUGUAAAAC
rnacentral:rRNA from 1 species